GCUUCACUAGCUCAGUCGGUAGAGCGUCAGUCUCAUAAUCUGAAGGUCGAGAGUUCGAACCUCCCGUGGAGCA
rnacentral:tRNA from 2 species